rnacentral:rRNA from 1 species
GUGCCAGCCGCCGCGGUAAUACAGAGGGUGCAAGCGUUGUUCGGAAUUACUGGGCGUAAAGCGUGCGUAGGCGGUAUUGAGAGUCACGGGUGAAAUCCCUAAGCUUAACUUAGGAACUGCCUGUGAGACCUCAGUACUAGAGUAUGAGAGGGGAUGGUGGAAUACCCAGUGUAGCGGUGAAAUGCGUAGAGAUUGGGUGGAACACCGGUGGCGAAGGCGACCAUCUGGCUCAUAACUGACGCUCAGGCACGAAAGCGUGGGUAGCAAACAGGAUUAGAUACCCUGGUAGUCCACGCCGUAAACUAUGCAUACAAGAUGUAGUGAAAUUUAUUUUUUGCUGUGUCGAAGCUAACGCAAUUAGUAUGCCGCCUGGGGAGUACGGUCGCAAGACUAAAACUCAAAGGAAUUGACGG